CGCUGACAUCUGCGGAUCUGCGCGCGACCACAAGCGACGUUGCUGUCGAGCUUUUGCUUAGCCGCUUGCUUCGCCGGCAUCAGCGUUCUCUUCCCGCAAUGUACCACAUGAGAAAGAAGCUUUUGCUGCGGCUGCUCUUGCAAAGGCGGCGAGAGCACAGAAAGCGUCUGCGGCGACGUUGGAGGGUCCGGCCAGUCUUUCAACUGCGUAAAUGAGAAGGACUUUACGGCUAUGCAACGGAUACGUCAGGAUGACCACGGAUUUUUCUACAAGUUCUUUCGCAAGACACCACAGCUCUUUGACAAGCUAUUGGGCUUUGUCGCAGAGGACCCCACACGGCAGCACCACAUUCAAGAAACCCCUGGAGCCUGGAGAACGACUUGCUGUAGCAUUGAGCAAUGCUUCCCAACGUAUCCAGCCUACGACUGCCUGCUGAAGCCAGCGAUGCUUGUGACUGCGGCCUGCUGUGGUGUGCCUCAGAAGCCUCGGGAACCAGAACUUCUGGAAACAUAGGUGAUUCAAGAGAUUCCAAAAUGUCCUGAGACUCCACAGACUCAUGCGACAUCGAAGACAGAGUCGAUGCUGGCGCUUCUGACUCUUCACUUGAUGGUGAUGGCACUUCAAGUGUUGCCAGAUCGAAAAACUGCCACAUUCUUUGUUGACAUGUCUGCAGCACUUCCCUCCUCACUCGAUGGGGGCACUAGUGGAAGGUUGGCGGACACCCUGUGUGUGAGCGUAAUAAGGUUUGCACAUAUUGCCAAUGUGUAAAUAAUGGCCAGUCUGAAUGCAAAAAUAUAUGAAGGCUCAAAUCAGUCCACAUUCGUUUUAAUGUGUGAUUUUAUUAGAGAACACCGAAGCUCUGAGUCAGUUUUGUAGGGACAAAAGUGGCUUGCCUACACAACCAGAAUGAACAGGUUCUGCAUGCGCUAAAGUGUAGCUUUUGUAUCUUUUUCUGUUUUUGCUUGUGAUGCAUUUAAGCAGUUCUUAUGCGAUCUGCAUGCCUAAAGCCUAGUGAUAACUUCUACUCAAAACAGUGCAUGAUAUUUGGAAUGUUUCAGUUUUGAAAUAAUUAGCAGCAAGCAUUCUACUACAUUUAAUCAGUUAAACCACCUAAUAUAUUUCAUGUUGAUCGACCUACGCUUGCACUUUCUAAACAUAGAGUAGUAGUAUUGUUAGGUCUUGCUUUAGCACAAGGCUCUCUCCUGUUCUAGUUUUUCUACUUGAAACGCUCUUGGCUUGUAACUUUGUUUUCCUUUCACUUGUUUGUAAACUUCAUCUCAUUCUAAACUGUUUUUCUUAACUGAAUGUAUGUCUAAACACAGUGUGAAGCUGUGUACGUAGUAGUCAGUGCAUUUGUUGUUUGUAUUUAGGAAGUUACAUAAAAUAAUGUUUGUCAUCUUGCCAUCUGCCUUGUAAAGGGUGUUUUGGCCCAGUAAAGCUGAUCUUAGCUAGCAAACCCUUCUAGAAGGUUUCUUAAAGCCAAGCUUUUUUUGCCUCUUCUCUGGACUUUCCCACCGCUGCUCCUACUGUCUUGCCAAAUAGCUCUUACUGAAUGCCUCAUACUGAUGUUAAUGUAGUCGUUGAACCAUUGUCAUUCCAGCUGACUACUGUCUUGCACGAGUGACCAGUACCGGACGUAAUGCAAAUACCAAUUAUAAUAAUGUAACUAGAUUGUGGUUUUGGCAUGUAAAAUUUCAAUAAUCAUUUUGUGCAUAGUGUGAAUUUCACAAUUUAUUUAUUUAUUAGUAAAAAUACAGAUAAUUGCAUGUGCGUAGUAUACAUAAGGAGGUCCCAAAGUCAAAGACUGUAUCGGGACCUCCUGCUAAAGACACUUAUGAUGUUACACAAAGUUUAAAGCAACAGUAGUAUAGAUGAGAACUAGGAGUAAUAUCGAAACAUGUUUAUAGCAUAUGAGUAAUAAGAACACUUGUUAACAGCAGGACAAUAUAAAAAAACGGAAUACAAAAAAAAUGAGGAGAGUUUCAGUAAGUAUUUAUUAUGAAUGAUUUUAGUUCUUUUUUAAAUUGGUAUAAAGUUUUUGCAUUUUUGAUGAUAGGGGGUAAAGUGUUCCAAAGCGAUAUUGCGGAAAAUUCCGCAGUCUGUUUACCGUAGUUAGUUCGCACUUUAGGUAGAAGGAAAUUAUUAUUGAGUGCAAAUCUAGUGUGACUAUGAGCUAUUAGGUCACAAGGUGAGAAGCAGAUUGAUGGUAGUUCCUUAGUCAUAUAUUUGUAGAAUAAAAUUCCUAGAUUAUAUUUGGUCAGUUCUGAAAUGGUUAGGAUGUUGUUUUCAUGUAGUAAGGAUUUUCCAUUAGCAAAGCGUGAACUGCUUGUAAUUAUUCUUAUGGAUUGGUUCUGGAUUACCUGGAGGGAUGCCAAGUGAGUGUUAUAAGUGUUACCCCAGCAUAGUAUGCCGUAGUUAAUAUGAGAGUGAAUGAAUGAGUAGAAUGAGUGAGUAGACUCAUUGUAAAACUAUUACUGUAAAGGAUUUUUCACGUGCCAGGGAUGAGAGCAUACUGGAUUAUCUUGACUUUAGUCUUAGCGGUUUUGGGGGACAUGACACCGUUCAACUUUGGGAUGAAUUUAUGAAUAUUUGUACGCACUGUAUUGAUAACUUUAUUCCAAAUAAAACCAAGCGAACAUAUAGAGCUACUCCCUGGAUGACGCGCGACAUAGUGCACAUAAAGAGAAAGGUUAAACGACUAAGACGACAGGGUCUUUCUCGUGACAUAGUAGAACCUUACCAAGCAAAAUUAAAUGAGGCUAUCAGUGUUGCUAAACUUCGCUAUUACCAGUUCACCCUUCCUAACUUCAUCAGAACUGCUCCUUCCAAGUUUUGGGGUUAUCUUAGUAAAAAAAGUAAAUCAGUUGACCAUAUUAUGCAUGAGGGCAAUCCUGUCGUCGCUAAACAAGAUAUCGCUGUUCACUUCAAUGCUUAUUUUAACAGUGUCUUUUCGAACUCGCCCGUUUCCCCUCGUGUAAAUGGCGUAGCACACAAUGAUUUUAGUUUUAUUUCUUUGUCUGGCGUCUUUUCUAUGCUUCUGAAUUUAAAAACAAAAUCAUCUCCUGGGCCUGAUAACCUACCAAACGUGUUUCUCCACAGGUACGCUGAAAUGCUAUCUCGCUUUCUCGUAAUCAUCUUUCGUGCAUCCCUUUCAUCGGCGGUGCUUCCUAACGACUGGCUUUCUGCUCGUAUUGUUCCGAUACUAAAAACAGGCGAUCCAUCACUAGUGGCAAACUAUCGUCCCAUUUCACUAACCUCAUCUUGUUGCAAACUUUUAGAACACAUUAUUGCUUCUGAAAUCAAUAAAUUUCUCGACGAUAGAGCCAUUCUAUCUCCUAUGCAGCAUGGUUUUCGAAAGGGCCUCUCCACUGUAACCCAAUUAACCACUGUAGUUCACGGUCUCGCUAUCACUAUUGACAAAUCAGGGCAAACUGACAUCAUAUUCUUGGACUUCAGGAAAGCAUUUGAUCUUGUAUCACACGCAAAGCUAAUAGAAAAACUUGAACAUUUGAACAUUCCUUCCCAUCUCGUAAAUUGGAUUCGCGCUUAUAUUUCUAACCGUACGCAAUUCGUAGUAGUUGAUGAUUGCUCUUCAAGCACCCUUCCUGUCACUUCUGGUGUUCCCCAGGGUAGUGUUCUUGGACCAUUAUUAUUUAACAUAUAUAUUAAUGACAUUGUCGACACUGUUACUCAACCCGUACAAAUAAAACUGUUUGCUGAUGAUUGCCUCCUCUUUAAUGAGAUCACUUGCCGACAAGAUCAAGUUAUUCUAAACUCUAACCUUCAAGACAUACUAGCUUGGUGUGCGCGCUGGGACAUGCAGCUUAACAUUGAUAAAACAGUAUUUAUGAAAAUAACUAGGAAAAUUAAUAAAUUGUCGUUUACCUAUAGCCUAGCAUCCAAACCUCUUACGGAGGUGAAUGAAUAUAAAUACCUCGGUGUUACAAUAGCCAGUAACCUUAGUUGGAACUCGCACAUCUCCCAUCUUUGCGACUCGGCUUUUAAGAAGCUUUGCUACCUCAGGCAUAAAUUAAAACACGCUCCUUCUGAAACCCGUCUUAUCGCCUACACCUCUCUUGUCCGUCCUAAACUCGAGUAUGCAGCUAUUGUAUGGGAUCCCUAUACUAAAACUAACAUUGAUGCGCUAGAAAUGAUACAACGUAAAGCAAUAAGGUUCAUCUUCUCUAAAUAUCGCACAAGUGAUUCCCCAACUCAGUUAAUGGCUGAACACAAUAUUCAGUCUUUGCAACUAAGAAGAAAAAUUCACAGGCUUAAAUUUCUCUUCUUGCUGAGUAACAAUAAACUAUCUCUUUCUCCCGAACCUUACAUAACACCCCUUACUGCCCGCUGAACAAGACAUCGCCACGCUGCAUCAUUAACGCCUUAUAAUGGUAGAACCAAUGUCUUUAUGUCUUCCUUUUUCCCUCGAACAGUAACGGAAUGGAACAGCCUACCCUAUAACAAACUUCUCAGCACUGACUCAAUAGCCUCUAUUACUAUCUAACUUUAGUGCUUGUUCUUACGAAAUCUCGUUUCAAUUUGUAUCGUUGUGCAAUAUUUAUUCAUUUGCGCGUUGUAGUAAUAUUGAAUUAUGCACUCCUCCUUUUUUUUCUGUUACAUUUUCUGUGCUUUGAAACUUUGCUUGUGAAACAGUGUUUCAAUUUGUGCCUGCCACUCUCUAUGCAUUAUUUAGAGGUGCUUUACUCAUUAUGCGAUUGUAUUUUCUAAUACAUUUUUUCCGGAGCUUUCUUUUUUUUACUCCUUUGUCAAUCUAUUGUUUUCUUUUUUUGUAUGUACCUUUCCCCUCCUGCCUGGGCCUUCUAAGGCCUGCAGUAUUCCUAAAUAAAUAAAUAAAUAAAAAUAAAUAGCGAGAUUAAUGUAUUAUGUGUAAAGUAGGGACUAGUUUUAAUUAGAACGCGAAUACCGUAUGCUAUUUUCUUUUUGAUGCGAGAAAUGUGAUCUUUAUAUUUCAAGCAGCAGUCAAGAGAAAUCCCAAGAAAAGAUGAGCAUGGACUGGGAGAGAUGGAGUGUGAGCCGAAAGUUAAAGAAGGGGAGAAUGCAGAAUGUUGUUGAUGUGAGGAAAAUACAACAAAUUUAGCCUUAGUGGCAUUAAUGGAUAAUAGGUUGGCAUUACACCAACUUAAAACAUUUUGUAGAUCAGUAUUUAGCUUGUUAAUAAGAAGUGACAUGUGUUUAUCAGAGGAAAAUAUGGUAGUAUCAUCAGCGUACAGAAUGCACUUAGUAGAGGACAAACAGUUAGGUAGGUCAUUGAUAUAAAUCAAAAACAGUAGUGGUCCUAAGAUAGAUCCUUGAGGGACGCCAAUGUUAGUGGUUUGUUCUCUGGAGUAGACGUUAGAUACAGACACUAUUUGAACCCUAUUUGAUAAGUAACUUUUUAAUAAUGAGAGCGCAGGACCACGAACACCGAUAGCCUCAAGUUUAGUAAAAAGGAUAAUGUGGUUUAAGCAGUCGAAUGCCUUUGUUAGAUCAAUGAAAACUGAGCCUGCAAAUAGACCAUCGUCAAUUAUUUUUUUUAAUUGGUCAGUUAGAUAUAUGAGUGCCAAAUCUGUGGAAUAUCCAUUACGAAAGCCAAAUUGGCAUGAGGAGAGAAUGUUAAAUUUAGUGAGAUAUUUGGUUAGACGCAUUGCGAUUAAUUUCUCCAGAACUUUGCUGAAAAAGGGUAAAAUACAAAUAGGGCGGUAGUUAUGUAUUAAUGUACUGUCACCUUUUUUUAGAACUGGAAUGACUUUACCGUGUUUAAGCUCGUUAGGAAACACACCAGUCUUGAAUAUCGAAUUAGUAAUAUGAGACAUGAUAUCAGAAAUUAAGUGGGCAAUCAUUUUAAUAGUAGCAGGUAGAACUUCAUCUAUUCCAGCACUGGUGGGUUUUAGGUGACAUAUAACGUUAUAUAUUUCUUCUGGCGUUGUGGGAAAAAGAAAAAAUGUGUGAGGGAGUCGAUUAAGUUGAGUGACUUGUGAAGGAGAGGGUGUGUCAUUAUCAAAAAAGUAGGAGCUGAAGGCGUUAGCUAUUUCGUUAGGGGAGUUAUACUCUGAGUUAUUGUAUAUAAUUUUUGAUAGCUGUUCUGGUUUAGAAUUUCUGUUUAGAAAGGAGUUGACGAUGUUCCAUUUCAAUUUGCUGUUAUUGCCGGCUUGCAAGAUUUUUUGUUCAAGAUAUAAUCGUUUUGCCACUUUUAACUGGUUGUUUAUAGAGUUACGUAACCUUUUAUAUCGUGCAAUUAAUUUGGUAUUAAAAGGCUGGUUUUUAGUUUUUUUGUACAGGUUAUCGCGUUUACGCAAAGCUGCUAAUAACUUUUUAGACAUCCAUGGAUUGUGAGAGAAUGCAAUGGUUUUUUUACACUUCCUUUUACAAGUGAAUUUAUGAAUAAGCGAUAUAAUUACAGUAAGAAAUUUAGAAAAUGCUUUUUGAGGAUCAUUAUAAGUUUUUAUUUCAGACCAGUCUAUAUUAGUAAUGGCAGUUAUGAAGCUCUCUUUGUCCAGAACGUAUUUGAAGUGUGGAAGAGGGCAAGGACUCGAGUUAUGUUUAAAACGUAGAAGCAAUGGGUAGUGAUCUGUUAUGUCCAUAUCAAGAACUUUUGCCUCUGGUGAAGUUAUUAAGUUAGAUAGGACAUGAUCAAUUAGCGUUCCUGUGCCACUAGGAACCUGUCGUGUAGGAACAUCAAUUAAGCAUUCAUAUCCGUAGCUUUGUAGUAGACUGGUGUAAGAAAUAACUGUUGGUGAUGUGUCAUUGAGUAGGUUAAUGUUGAUAUCACCCAUUAUAAUUACAUUUUUAUGUGUUUAACUGGAUCAUCUAGUCUUUCCUUGGAAAUUUUGCUAAGCAGGAACAGCGUUCUCCACAAAUAUUAUGAAAGCUUCGCUUAAACCAGUAACUUGUGGGGAUGCGCGACUCUCGCGCGUCCCCUGAUGUUUUCCCCGCAUAGCGCGUCUCCUGUAAUCCCGCUUCGCCGCGUGGCCUGCGUGACGUCCGCGCGGUCGAUGUGGUUGAAGCGCAGUCCGAGAGAUGGCGCUAGUGUUGCGCUGCUGCGGGGUUACUUGGGUGCGGAAGAGACAAGGCGCUCUCUUGGGUUCGAGACAGCAAGCGGGACGGACGCGCCGUGCCCCACGUGCAGCGACCCUUUUUCCCGGCGGGUCGGCGCACGGCGGGGACGUCUCCCGCGUGCGCGCCGACCGAUGCUUCGGCGAGACCGUCUCGCGUGGCCGCCUUCGAACGCGCCACGAUUCGCGUGACUAUACACGCGAACGAGCAGGCGUUGGGAUCCAGCAUGGGGCGAACACAUUCGCUCGCUUCCGGUCGCGGUAAGUCGGACUUCCAGAUUUGUCGCGCGCCCAUCGGCAUGUUUUGUGGAUAGCAACUCGGCUAGCAGGCAUUGAUGUAUGAAAGGUGCAAUAAAUGCCCUUGUGAUUGUUUGCACUACUGUGUUGUCGUUCCUUUGUCCCAAGAGUACGGUGCGAGAAUCCCACAUCAGACCCCACAAACUACAGCACCUGGGAUCUGCAGAAUAACUGCAGGCUGAUAAUUAGGUAAGGACACUGCUGAGCAGACACAAAAAUAAUUAUCAAUUACACAGCUGACAAUGUUGUCAGUACUAUGGUGCAUUUAUUCCUAAAGCAUGAUGACACUGAAUGAAUCCCUAAGCUAGCUAGGUAAUAUUUGAGGGUCUGUGAUGAAGCACUAAUUUGCACACUGCUGGCACGCAACAAAAUGCAAAAUUAAAGCUGUUCAUUGCGGUGACGAAGACACACGUGAAUAUAGCAACAUUCAAUACUCGGUUAAAUACUGGUCAUGGACUUGCAUGCUGCCUUCUGGGAUCAGUGCACAGAAUCAAAAGAAACUGCUUGCAUCUUUUGUGUUUUGUUUUUGUGUGUGCAUCAUGCAAGCCCUUUUCUUUUUCGUCCUGCUAAUUCGUAUGUGAUAUUCUCUGUACUUCUGUCUUAUGCUUUAUUGUUAGGUUUUUGUGUGCUAUUUUACUUGUUAUUUUGUACCUGUAUUUCUGCUUUCUCUGCUCCCCACUGCAAAGCCAAACUGGAUUUGUGGGUACCUAAAUAAAUAAGUAUACAAAGCUA